rnacentral:lncRNA from 1 species
AGGGAUGUCACUAAAUGCAAUAAGAAUAUCUUCAUAGAAAUCAUCUAUUGUGUCUUGGUUGUACCUGUGAUAGCAUUGGAGUAACAUUUUUUCCCUCCUCUCAGUUGCCUUUUUCUUGGAUAAUGAAGCAACAAUAAUGUAAUUAGAUUCUGAGUCUUCGGCGAUGGUGAUGGCGGCAUCGGUUAAUUCCACUGUGGGCCAAGAAUUUACUCUGUGUGAUUACACUGAAAGAGUUGGCAUGCCAUUUCUAAAAGGAUCUGACGCUUGACCCAGAUUCUUGAGAUAAUUAUCUACAAUACAGCUUUGUUGAUCAAGUACCAAAUUUUACCAGUCCAUGAACAUAUUCAGGAAGACCACCGCCCUUCAAGAGCCCCCCAGUAUAUAGUUGUAUGUUCUUCGUUGUGGGUCCUUCUAGUUGUGGCAUGUGGGAUGCUGCCUCAGCGUGUUCUGAUGAGCAGUGCCAUGUCCGCGCCCAGGAUUCGAACCAGCAAAACCCUGAACCGCCUGCAGUGGAGCACGCGAACUUAACCA